AACGAACGCUGGCGGCAUGCCUAACACAUGCAAGUCGAACGAGACCUUCGGGUCUAGUGGCGCACGGGUGCGUAACGCGUGGGAACCUGCCCUUAGGUUCGGAAUAACUCAGAGAAAUUUGAGCUAAUACCGGAUGAUGUCUUCGGACCAAAGAUUUAUCGCCUUUAGAUGGGCCCGCGUUGGAUUAGCUAGUUGGUGGGGUAAAGGCCUACCAAGGCGACGAUGCAUAGCUGGUCUGAGAGGAUGAUCAGCCACACUGGGACUGAGACACGGCCCAGACUCCUACGGGAGGCAGCAGUGGGGAAUAUUGGACAAUGGGCGAAAGCCUGAUGCAGCAAUGCCGCGUAAGUGAUGAAGGCCGUAGGGUUGUAAAGCUCUUUUACCCGAGAUGAUAACGACGGUAUCGGGAGAAUAAGCUCCGGCUAACUCCGUG
rnacentral:rRNA from 1 species